UACGGAGGAUGCGAGCGUUAUCCGGAUUUAUUGGGUUUAAAGGGUGCGCAGGCGGCACGGCAAGCCGGCGGUCAAAUCGCGGGGCUCAACCCCGCCCAGCCGUCGGAACUGCCGGGCUGGAGUGGGCGAGAAGUGCGCGGAAUGCGUGGUGUAGCGGUGAAGUGCAUAGAUAUCACGCAGAACUCCGAUUGCGAAGGCAGCGCACCGGCGCCCUACUGACGCUCAGGCACGAAAGCGUGGGUAUCGAACGGG
rnacentral:rRNA from 1 species